rnacentral:tRNA from 1 species
GCUGGUAUAGCUCAACUGGUAGAUCACCUGCCUCACAUGCACAAGGCCCUGGAUUCAAAACCCAGUACCACA